rnacentral:rRNA from 1 species
AUGCAGAGUAUAACCACAAGAUUUUUUCUUCGGUGGUUACGAACUGAAGAGCGUGAGGGCUGGUGGAGGACUCAGUACGUGGGUUUUUCGAAUAUUGUGUCGACUAUCAACCUGGACUUUAAAUUGGAUCUGAAAGCAAUAGCUCUCCAGGCACGCAAUGCAGAGUAUAACCACAAGGUAAAAUUUUUUCUUCGGUGGUUACGAACUGAAGAGCGUGAGGGCUGGUGGAGGACUCGCUUCCUGCUGCAUGUGCACAUAAUGCUUGCUUACUGCUACAUUAGAUGGAUUCACCCGGCUGGUGGCUGCCAGCUGCAUAUGUUGGCAUUAGGUCGAUUUGCCCCCUGCUUGCUGCUGCGCCUACACGGACCACGCGCUGCUCUAUUCGGCGGCGUCUGCAUGUCCGUGGGGAUCCGCAGCAGCGGCGGCGUCCAUGGGGAUCCGUGGCCAUUCCUUUUAAUGGUCAAACAUGACUCUUGCAUAAAGCAUGCCUACCAUGAGAUGAAUAUUACAAGACUGAUUGGGCCGAGAAGGCUGAGAAAGAUCAUCAUGAUGGUGCUGGCAAAUUUAUAUCUGAACAAAUUCUAUGAGAAAGCAACGGGGCUCCCUGAAACUACACGGCUCCCUGAAACUACACAUUAUACCCUUUGUGUUAGUCAAGAUCAAAAAAUAGCUAGGCAUUGA